rnacentral:rRNA from 1 species
AGAGUUUGAUUUUGGCUCAGGAUGAACGCUGGCGGCGUGCCUAACACAUGCAAGUCGAACGGAGCCUGAACCAAAGAAGCAGCCUGCUUGCUGGAAGCGGAAAAGGGAAAGGCUUAGUGGCGGACGGGUGAGUAACGCGUGGGUAACCUGGCCCAUACAGGGGAAUAACACUUAGAAAUAGGUGCUAAUACCGCAUAACAACAGAAAGGGGGGGGCUUUUUGUUUGAAAACCAAGGUGGUAUGGGAUGGACCCGCGUCUGAUUAGCUGGUUGGCGGGGUAAAGGCCCACCAAGGCGACGAUCAGUAGCCGGCCUGAGAGGGUGGACGGCCACAUUGGGACUGAGACACGGCCCAAACUCCUACGGGAGGCAGCAGUGGGGAAUAUUGCACAAUGGGGGAAACCCUGAUGCAGCGACGCCGCGUGAGUGAAGAAGUAAUUCGUUAUGUAAAGCUCUAUCAGCAGGGAAGAAAAUGACGGUACCUGAGUAAGAAGCCCCGGCUAACUACGUGCCAGCAGCCGCGGUAAUACGUAGGGGGCAAGCGUUAUCCGGAUUUACUGGGUGUAAAGGGAGCGUAGACGGCAGUGCAAGUCUGGAGUGAAAGGCGGGGGCUCAACCCCCGGACUGCUCUGGAAACUGUACGGCUGGAGUGCAGGAGAGGUAAGUGGAAUUCCUAGUGUAGCGGUGAAAUGCGUAGAUAUUAGGAGGAACACCAGUGGCGAAGGCGGCUUACUGGACUGUAACUGACGUUGAGGCUCGAAAGCGUGGGGAGCAAACAGAAGGAGAUACCCUGGUAGUCCACGCUGUAAACGAUGGAUACUAGGUGUGCGGGGACUGACCCCCUGCGUACCACAGCUAUCGCAAUAAGUAUCCCACCUGGGGAGUACGAUCGCAAGGUUGAAACUCAAAGGAAUUGACGGGGGCCCGCACAAGCGGUGGAUUAUGUGGUUUAAUUCGAUGCAACGCGAAGAACCUUACCAGGGCUUGACAUCCUGCUAACGAGGUAGAGAUACGUCAGGUGCCCUUCGGGGAAAGCAGAGACAGGUGGUGCAUGGUUGUCGUCAGCUCGUGUCGUGAGAUGUUGGGUUAAGUCCCGCAACGAGCGCAACCCUUAUUGUUAGUUGCUACGCAAGAGCACUCUAGCGAGACUGCCGUUGACAAAACGGAGGAAGGUGGGGACGACGUCAAAUCAUCAUGCCCCUUAUGUCCUGGGCUACACACGUAAUACAAUGGCGGUCAACAGAGGGAUGCAAAACCGUGAGGUGGAGCGAACCCCUAAAAGCCGUCCCAGUUCAGAUCGCAGUCUGCAACCCGACUGCGUGAAGUCGGAAUCGCUAGUAAUCGCGGAUCAGCAUGCCGCGGUGAGUACGUUCCCGGGCCUUGUACACACCGCCCGUCA